CUCAUUUGUUUUGUAAAGAUGGAUGUAGGUUAGGAUCAGAAGCUCUCCCUCUGAACAGGUGAUUCGAAGGAGCAAAGCUGCAGCUCUCGGACAAAACCGUGUUCUGCACCAGGUUCUGAGCUGCUUUCCUUCUCCAUACCCUUUCACCAUGAUGUCCUGCCUCAUCUUGGACCCAAAGGAAUAGAGUUGGCUGGCUAUGGAAUGAACCUCUGAAACCAUGAGCCCCAAAUAAACUUUCCCUUGUCUACAUUGUUCUGGUCAGAUCUUUUGGUUACAGUAAUGAAAAAGCUAACUAAAACAUCAAGUAUCCACAACAAAGCGCUCAUAAUGUCCAGUUUAUAAUGCAAAAUUACUUGACAUAUGAAGAUUCAGGAAAACGUGAUCUAUUUUCAAGGGAAAAGAAUCAACAGACACCAAUCCUGAUAUGACUCAGAAGUUGAGAUUUUCAGAAUCAGCCUCUCUCUGGACAUAUGGACCUCCAUGAGGACACUCACUCUGACUUUCACCAAGGAAGGUGUGAACCCCUCUACAGGGAGCUACAAUUUCAGAAGGAAAUCUGAGAAAUAGAAAUGCUCAUUCCUAAAGCUGGAGCUAGACCCAAGGACCAUGGUGGUGGGGUAAAAGGUGGACAGGAACAGGGAUGAGAAAAAUACUAAUUUACUCAGCUUCCAGAGACUCAGGCCUUGACUCCAAUACCAGACCCCUAAAGGCCACAAGGGGCUUCCGGUUAUGACUGUCAUAGGCAGCCCCUCAAAAUCAGAGUAAAUGAAGACCCAGCUCAGCAGCCCUGCAUACAGGCCCAGGCUCUGGAUUCAGGCUUAUCUAUCUCUACUAUAACCUAGGAAGGUUUCCUAAAGUCCCUGAACCUCAGUUUCCCAUCUAUAAAAUAUGGGAAAUACAAUCUAAUUUGGAAGGAAUCCCUUUUAAUAAAAAGAGAACAAUAAUACAUUAAAAAUUAAGCGUUAG